rnacentral:rRNA from 1 species
GAUGAACGCUGGCGGCGUGCCUAAUACAUGCAAGUCGAGCGAACAGACGAGGAGCUUGCUCCUCUGACGUUAGCGGCGGACGGGUGAGUAACACGUGGAUAACCUACCUAUAAGACUGGGAUAACUUCGGGAAACCGGAGCUAAUACCGGAUAAUAUAUUAAACCGCAGGGUUCAAUAGUGAAAGACGGUUUUGCUGUCACUUAUAGAUGGAUCCGCGCCGCAUUAGCUAGUUGGUAAGGUAACGGCUUACCAAGGCAACGAUGCGUAGCCGACCUGAGAGGGUGAUCGGCCACACUGGAACUGAGACACGGUCCAGACUCCUACGGGAGGCAGCAGUAGGGAAUCUUCCGCAAUGGGCGAAAGCCUGACGGAGCAACGCCGCGUGAGUGAUGAAGGUCUUCGGAUCGUAAAACUCUGUUAUUAGGGAAGAACAAAUGUGUAAGUAACUAUGCACGUCUUGACGGUACCUAAUCAGAAAGCCACGGCUAACUACGUG